rnacentral:ncRNA from 1 species
GUUUUGGUCCUAAACUUGCCGUUGUUUUUUAUCAAAUUUACACAUGCAAGCUUCAACAACCCAGUGAAAUUGCCCCAAAACCCCUAAACAGCCAAAAGGAGCAGGCAUCAGGACCCAGAACCCUCUAGCCCAAGACGCCUUGCUAUGCCACACCCACACGGGUCCUCAGCAGUGAAUAACAUUAAGAAAUGAGCGAAAGCUCGACUUAGUUAUGAUAAAAAUGGCCGGUAAAUUUCGUGCCAGCCACCGCGGUUAUACGAGAGGCCAAAAACAAUGACCAACGGCGUAAAGAGUGACUAGAGUCCUACCAACAACUUAAAGUAACAUAAUAUCAAAGUUGUAAAACACCUUGAUUAUUAGACCACCAACAACAAAAAGACUUUAAACAAAAGGUGCCUUGACCUCACGAAAGCUAAGAAACAAACUAGGAUUAGAUACCCUACUAUGCUUAGCCCUAAACAUAGAUAGUAAACAUACAAUACUAUCCGCCAGAGAACUACAAGUGAAAAACUAGAAACUCCAAGGACUUGGCGGUGCUCCAUACCGUCCUAGAGGAGCCUGUCCUAUAAUCGAUAACCCACGCUGUACCCCACCACCCCUUGCAACUCAGCCUAUAUACCGCCGUCGUCAGCCCACCUUAUGAAAGGAAACCAAAGUGGACAAAAUAGUUAACAACUAAAACGUCAGGUCAAGGUGUAGCCUAUGAGGUGGAAGAGAUGGGCUACACUCUCUACCACAGAACAUACGAAUAGCACAGUGAAAUCUGUACUUGAAGGUGGAUUUAGCAGUAAGAUAAAUAAGAAAAUUUACCUGAAACCCGCUCUGGAGCGCGCACACACCGCCCGUCACCCUC